UGGGGAAUAUUGGACAAUGGGCGCAAGCCUGAUCCAGCCAUACCGCGUGGGUGAAGAAGGCCUUCGGGUUGUAAAGCCCUUUUGUUGGGAAAGAAAAGCAGUCGGCUAAUACCCGAUUGUUCUGACGGUACCCAAAGAAUAAGCACCGGCUAACUUCGUGCCAGCAGCCGCGGUAAUACGAAGGGUGCAAGCGUUACUCGGAAUUACUGGGCGUAAAGCGUGCGUAGGUGGUUUGUUAAGUCUGCUGUGAAAGCCCUGGGCUCAACCUGGGAAUUGCAGUGGAUACUGGCUGACUAGAAUGUGGCAGAGGGUAGCGGAAUUCCUGGUGUAGCAGUGAAAUGCGUAGAGAUCAGGAGGAACAUCCGUGGCGAAGGCGGCUACCUGGGCCAACAUUGACACUGAGGCACGAAAGCGUGGGGAGCAAACAGGAUUAGAUACCCUGGUA
rnacentral:rRNA from 1 species